rnacentral:ncRNA from 1 species
GAUCAAGUGACGUAAGGGCAUUUGGUGGAUGCCUUGGCAUGCACAGGCGAAGAAGGACGUGAUACGCUGCGAUAAGCCGUGGGGAGCUGCGAAUGAGCUUUGAUCCAUGGAUCUCCGAAUGGGGGAACCCACCUUAAAUGCCUGGAAAGUUUAAGCUGUCCUUUGGGACGGUUUAGGUUUCCAGGUAUUGUUNUAGAUAUCUAGAAAAUCUGUUCUGUUGAGACCUUCAAUCUGUCUUUGGCAGAAGGCUUGCAGGGGACUUCCCCGGUAGGCCAGAGGCCGUCGCCAAGCGUUUGGCGCGCCGUCCGCAGCGCAGCGAUCGUAGAUCGCGACAGCGUGAGGACAAAAGACCCCGGCAAGUCCGGGUUGGAGGGUGCGGCAGAAGAGGUUUCUAGAUAUCGUGAUAAGGUAUCUUACCUUCGAAUACAUAGGGGUAAGAAGCGAACGCAGGGAACUGAAACAUCUAAGUACCUGCAGGAAAGGACAUCAACCGAGACUCCGUUAGUAGUGGCGAGCGAACGCGGACCAGGCCAGUGGCGAUGAAAGAUAAAGCGGAACGAGUUGGAAAGCUCGGCCAUAGCGGGUGACAGCCCCGUACGCGGUGAGGCUUUCGUCGUCCUUGAGUAGGGCGGGGCACGUGAAACCCUGUCUGAACAUGGGGAGACCACUCUCCAAGCCUAAGUACUCGUGCAUG